GACGAACGCUGGCGGCGUGCCUAAUACAUGCAAGUAGAACGCUGAAGAGAGGAGCUUGCUCUUCUUGGAUGAGUUGCGAACGGGUGAGUAACGCGUAGGUAACCUGCCUUGUAGCGGGGGAUAACUAUUGGAAACGAUAGCUAAUACCGCAUAACAAUGGAUGACACAUGUCAUUUAUUUGAAAGGGGCAAUUGCUCCACUACAAGAUGGACCUGCGUUGUAUUAGCUAGUAGGUGAGGUAAUGGCUCACCUAGGCGACGAUACAUAGCCGACCUGAGAGGGUGAUCGGCCACACUGGGACUGAGACACGGCCCAGACUCCUACGGGAGGCAGCAGUAGGGAAUCUUCGGAAAUGGGGGCAACCCUGACCGAGCAACGCCGCGGGAGUGAAGAAGGUUUUCGGAUCGUAAAGCUCUGUUGUAAGUCAAGAACGGGUGUGAGAGUGGAAAGUUCACACUGUGACGGUAGCUUACCAGAAAGGGACGGCUAACUACGUG
rnacentral:rRNA from 1 species